GACGAACGCUGGCGGCGUGCUUAACACAUGCAAGUCGAACGGUGAAGCGCGUACCUUUCUGGUGGGGGUGGAGGGGGGGCGAACGGGUGAGUAACACGAGAGUAACCUGCUCCCUUCUGCAGGAUUACCGCAUAAAAGUGUGGCUAAUACGGGAUAUUCUGGGCCUGUCGCUUGAAGGGUCUGGGAAAGAUAUUGUUUCGGUGGGGGAUGGGCCCGCGGCGUAUCAGCUUGUUGGUGGGGUGAUGGCCUACCAAGGCGAUGAGGAGUAGCCGGCCUGAGAGGGUGGACGACACCACAGGGAAGACGAGGCCGAGAAGACUCAUACAGGAGGCAGCAGGGGGGAAUAUUGAAUGGUCGGCGGAAUGAUGAAGCAGCGACGCCGCGUGGGGGAUGGAGGUCUGAGGGUUGUGCACCUUUUUCGGGAGUGAAGCAGACCUGAAUAAUAUGUGGAUGGGUUGACGGUAGCUAGACAAGAAGCGCCGGCUAACUACGUG
rnacentral:rRNA from 1 species